rnacentral:rRNA from 1 species
CCUACGGGCGGUAGCAGUGGGGAAUAUUGCACAAUGGGGGAAACCCUGAUGCAGCGACGCCGCGUGAGUGAAGAAGGAUCUCGGUACGUAAAGCUCUAUCAGCAGGAAAGAAAAUGACGGGACCUGACUAAGAAGCCACGGCUAACUACGUGCCAGCAGCCGCGGUAAUACGUAGGGGGCAAGCGUUAUCCGGAUUUACGGGGUGGAAAGGGAGCGUAGACGGCGCUGCAAGUACGGAGUGAAAGCCAAUGGCUUAACCAUGGUACUGCUCUGGAAACUGUAGAGCUUGAGUGCGGGAGUGGCAGGCGGAAUUCCUAGUGUAGCGGUGAAACGCGUAGAUAUUAGGAGGAACACCGGCAGCGAAGGCGGCCUGCUGGACCGUAACUGACGUUGAGGCUCGAAAGCGUGGGGAGCAAACAGGAUUAGAUACCCUGGUAGUC